AGAGUUUGAUCAUGGCUCAGGACUAACGCUGGCGGCGUGUCUUAGACAUGUAAGUCGAACGGCAGCAGAUCACCUUCGGGUGGUGCUGGCGAGUGGCGAACGGGUGAGUAAUACAAAGGAAACUUCCCUUAGAGUGGAGCAUAACUCCGAGAAAUCGGAGCUAAUUCUCCAUAUUCUCAUUGAACAUAAGUUCACUGAGGAAAGGCUUCGGUCGCUCUGGGAUGGUCCUUUGUGCUAUCAGCUUGUUGGUGAGGUAACAGCUCACCAAGGCGAUGACGGCUAGGGGGUGUGAGAGCAUGACCCCCCACAUGGGAACUGAGACACGGUCCCAACUCCUACGGGAGGCAGCAGUCUAGAAAUUUGGGCAAUGGGCGAAAGCCUGACCCAGCGACGCCGCGUGAGGGAUGAGGUUCUUCGGAAUGUAAACCUCUGUUGAGGGGAACGAUAAUGACGGUACCCCUCGAGGAAGCCUCGGCUAACUCCGUGCCAGCAGCCGCGGUAAUACGGAGGAGGCAAGCGUUGUCCGGAAUCACUGGGCGUAAAGGGUGUGUAGGUGUCCUGGUGGGUCAGGUGUGAAAUCCAACGGCUCAACUGUUGAAGUGCAUCUGAAACUAUCGGGAUUGAGGACAUGAGGGGAGAGUGGAACUCGCGGUGUAGCGGUAGAAUGCGUGGAUAUCGCGAGGAAUGCCGAUGGCGAAGGCGGCUCUCUAGUGUGUUCCUCGUAUGAGGAGCUUAAUAAUUUUAAUCUUCGGGUUAUGAUUGUUUUGUCCUGACACUGAAACACGAAAGCUGGGGGAGCGAACGGGAUUAGAUACCCCGGUAGUCCCAGCUGUAAACGAUGUACACUUGGCAUGCGCUGUAUGGUGCGUGCCGUACGUAACCUGUUAAGUGUACCGCCUGGGAGUAUGCUCGCAAAGGGUGAAACUCAAAUGAAUUGACGG
rnacentral:rRNA from 1 species